CCUACGGGAGGCAGCAGUGGGGAAUUUUGGACAAUGGGCGCAAGCCUGAUCCAGCAAUGCCGCGUGCAGGAUGAAGGCCUUCGGGUUGUAAACUGCUUUUGUACGGAACGAAACGGUUCGCUUUAAUACAGUGGGCUAAUGACGGUACCGUAAGAAUAAGCACCGGCUAACUACGUGCCAGCAGCCGCGGUAAUACGUAGGGUGCGAGCGUUAAUCGGAAUUACUGGGCGUAAAGCGUGCGCAGGCGGUUAUAUAAGACAGAUGUGAAAUCCCCGGGCUCAACCUGGGACCUGCAUUUGUGACUGUAUAGCUAGAGUACGGUAGAGGGGGAUGGAAUUCCGCGUGUAGCAGUGAAAUGCGUAGAUAUGCGGAGGAACACCGAUGGCGAAGGCAAUCCCCUGGACCUGUACUGACGCUCAUGCACGAAAGCGUGGGGAGCAAACAGGAUUAGAUACCCCGGUAGUC
rnacentral:rRNA from 1 species